ACCACUGAGCUGGAAGGUCCCUGAGAGCAGGGCAAUGCUGCUUUCUCUUCUCUCCUUUCUCUGGGUUUCACCAGUUCCUGCCACAGCACUUGGUGUGGAGGAGACGGUUAAUAGAUGUCGUAUGAAGGACUGAGAAACUGAAGUUCAGGAAUGCGACUUUAUCAGGGCCUUUAGGAUUGGUCACGUGGUCAGAGAUGAGUAAACGCACUCACAAGAGAUGAUUUUUACCCCAGAAUUCCAGUCCAUCAGUUUCUCAAGGGACCUCUCCUGGAUCCAAGAAGUAGAACCAGUCUUUGUCCCAGUGUGGUCUCUUCCUGGUGAAUGGGAUCAGAAGGUUACUUGGUGAGCACAGAACCAAAGUUGGACCUUCUUAUGUGCCUUUUCUCUCCAGUUCUGAUGACCCAGUGGCCCGGCCUCCAUUUCUUUAAGGCUAUCUUUGUGUAAAGGGUCCGGAUCAAUCAUCCAGAAUCAGAGUGCCUGUUGGACCUGCUGGUGACACACUGAUAGGUUUUCUUCUUCUAUUUUCCCUUUUCGAAUACUCACGCAGACCCCCCACCCCACCGUUUACACUCGUUCGUUACCACAACACCGUCUCCUAAGUGUCGGAUUGUUUUGCGUUGAGCUGGGCUGCUUGCUUAUGGCAUACUUCGGACAGGCUCUUUAAUCUUCUCAGUAUGGUUGCUCAGAUCACUCUGCAAGACAGGUUACUUCUGGAAAGCUGUCCUGAGACAGCUAAUCCCAUCCUUCUCGCAGGCUUGACUUACGGGGGUGGCAUGUGCUGACCUUACGUUUUGAGAGCUGUCGUAGUUUGAGGACUGCAGUGCUUCAUCCACCUUCUACAAUUACCAAGACUAAAAAUACUUCUGAGGGUGAAGAGUCUUCAAGGGAACUUUGCAGCCUGGCCUGUCCUCCGUGUGUCUUGAUGCCAUAUUACAAGGCAAUCGCCUUGUUACUGUGGUGCUGGAAUUUUCUAGAGAAAAGUAUGAAGCGUGCUGCUGCAGGUCCAAACUGAACUCUGGGUAUGUUUACACAUGUUUCUUUGCCGUUGAUUCUGUUACUGAAAAGAACUUGGGUCAGCUCUCCUGACGUGCAGCAAACCCAAUCUACUGCCACUGGGUUGUGCUGAAGGAAAGUACGGGGUGCCGAGCAAGGAGAGUGGGCAGCUCAUGGUCAAAAGACCCAAACUCCCCGAAGGCUUUCAGGGAAGGGUUUUUAAAGACAGUGUGAGGGAGAGGGUUGCAGGUGUGUGGCCGGCUUGUGCGUAAUUCUCUGAUUGGUCCUGAUGAGGUAACAGGAAGAUGUUUUGGGAAUCUCAGUCUUCUGGUUGCAACCGGUCUGGGGUCUAGGUGCUGGUGGUCCGCACGCAGUGAAUUUCUUCCACCUGGUGGGGGUUUCAGUAUCUGCAGAACUGCUCAGGGACGCGGCUCAGGAUGUUAUCUACAGCCCUUGCGGAGGAACUAAAGGUCCUUGGCUUUGUUUUAUGGCUAAACUAUUAUCGUUUUAUCUUGCUUGACUACUUUCCUUUGUUUCUGCUCUUGUCACUUCUCUGAUUAAAUUUAUUCUUUCGGACUCAGGGAAGGCCUAGGAGGCUAAAGCUUUUCUGCAAACAAGAGGUGGGGGACGUGGGGGAGUCUGUCCCUCGGAAGGCUUCAAUCUGAUGAGCUGUGUGAGUGUCGCUCAGAGUCACUCACAUGCCAGUCAGUUGCCAGUCCUGGAUUUCAGGCAUACAUUUGUCAGGCUCCACCCCUGGCCCCCCUGUUUGUUAGUGUGCUUGAAUGAAAGCUAGUGCUUCCACUGUACAGAAAUGGUAGAGUAACUUUAAGGACUUGCUCUUGUAUUAAGGAAGAUCUUCCUUAAAAUUAAUUUCCAUUUUUCUUCCUGCAUUCACAGUCUAAUUGCACUAUAGGGUGUGCGUGUGUGGUGUGUGUGUGUGUGUGUGUAGGUACUUGCACAUGAAUAGAACAUUUACGGAAGGAUAUAUAAGAAACUGGAAGCAGUGAUUACUUCAGGGAAGAGUACUGAUGAACUGGGGUAGGAGGAGAUAUCAUUUUUUAUUUUUAACCUUUUGUACUAUUUUAGACUUCUUUAUUCAUUAAAUAAGACAUUAUAUCUGAAUGAUCGUAUGAUCUCCUGAGUCCCUCUGCUAAGAGUCUUAAUCCUCUUAGAGGGUAUAUUUUGUCCUUUCUUUCUCCAAUCUCUUUACUAAAUUCAAUUCUGUUGCCUAUAUAGAAACACCUCAUUUUUCCAGCAUUGCCUGAGAAUGAAAUUUUGCACACUGUGAAUUCUCCUGGUAAGUGGUUCUAAUUCCUUUAUAUUGUUGAAGUUUGGAGCAAUGACUAAUGGAAUCUUUAUAAGUUGUAUUACAUACCUUCCUGUCCUCUUCUUAAACAGAUUUACUGAGAUACAUUUCACAUACCACCACGUUCACUGAACGUUAAAGGUUCAGUGGUAGUUAGCAUAUUCUCAGAGAUGUGCAGCCAUCACCACAGUCUGAUUUUAGAACAUUUCAACACUCCAGAAAGAAACUCCAUACCCACUAAGCCCCUGCUAAUCUAGUUCUGUCUCUAUGGAUUUGCCUAUUGGACAUUUCACAUAAAUGAAAUCAUAUAAUAUGUGGUCUUUUGUUCCUGUCCUCUUAAACUGAGCAGAGUUAACAGUAUUUUACCUUUUCCUGAGAAUUUAGGCUUAUUAUUAUUGACAGUAUGCUUAUGAUGACCUCAAGAAAUACCGAGGCAGGGAGGCUGCUUGCCUUUGCAUUCCAUGGUCCAUUAGGAUGUACAUGACUCUCUCUGGUGCCCAGGCCAUUAGGCGACUUCUUGAAUACCUUGUCUUUUGACUUUUUAACUCUUGUUUUAACCAUCAUUUCUGAUUCUCCCAUUUUUGCAAAGUUGGACCAUUAGUACCUAAAACUAGAUGAGACCCACAGUCUCAUGCCUUCUCUUGACCCAGGCUUAUAACAUAACUCCAGUGUGAACCUUUUUCGUGUGUUUCUCUCCUUCUGCAGUGAUUAAACAGGCUGACACCUCCCCUUCUUUCACUGCUAUCUUGAGCAUCUUGUAUCAUUCAGUCAGCUAAAUUCCACCUUAGCAAUAAAUCCCCCACAAGUAUUUUAUGAUCUCUCUGGUUUCAGCGGUGUUAAACCCUUUGAUUCCUUGUAUGUUUCCUCUCCCUUUUCUUCAAAUAGUCUGUAGCCCUCACUUCAAGAACUUUAUCCACUUCCCUUUCUCUAAAAUUGCCCAAUUGUAAAAGAACACCUUUCUUUAUUUCCCUUAACAGCAUGCAUAAUCAAAGCAUUCUUGAACGAAAACCUCCAGGCAGGGUGGGGCAGAGCAGCCCCUAAGUCAAUGGGGCACUUGUCUGCGGAAGUCCAAGAGCAUUUGCAUGUUUGACAGGGAGAGAGGAUAUUUGACAUCUGAACUGACCUGGGCAGUAGAGUCUCUGUAAGUAUUUUCUUUAUCUUUCGGUAGGAUGGCGUGAGGAGGGGGAGUCUAACUUGGGGCACUGUUUCUGGUCUGGGUCAGACUCUUACAGGGCUGUUUGGGGCUUGAGUCAGGGUGGCAGGGAGGGAGUUGUCACCAUUCUGAAUUUAGCCAGAGGAGCAUGACAGUCUGACCAGGAGUAUGUCACAGGAAUUUGAGAUUUCGUGGCUUCUUAUCUUUUGCUCGUAGUCAGGAUAAGCCCAGGAGUUUGGGGCACCCUUGCUGACAGCAGUUCUGAGUCACAUUGAAUCUGGAGACCCAAGAAAAUUCAGUCUAUGUCAGGGAAACCAACCUUUCAUCGGGCCUGACUUGGGCAGGGAAGGGAUGACAAGUUGAAGAGUGCCUGGCACAGAGCAGACUCAGGAAGUAUCUGCUGAAUGACCGAGUCUCAGGUGUCAAGUCUGAGCAGUUGGUAGCGACUUUCUGACAUGAGAUGCUGAGAAAGAUCUUCAGGCUAGGUUCGGUGGGAAAUGCUGUAAUUUAGGACUGAUCUGCCAGGGGUGCAGGUGAGCAAAUGGAGAGAAGUAAAUGUGCGUGUUAAGUCCUAGCAAAUGGAGAGAAGUAAAUGUGCGUGUUAAGUCCUAGUGUGGGAAGAACAGAA
ensembl:lncRNA